AAAAACUAAAAUGGUUUAAUAGGCUCGUUUUUUUAAAUUAUUUUUAUUAUUUUUUGUUUGCACUAUGACAUAUUUAUACAUUUUUUCUAUUGUCAUAAGCCAUAGAGGCAUUGUAAAUUAGUUAUGUUUAGGUAAACUUGAACAAGCUUUUUUAAGUCACUCUGUUAAAUAACUGGGGUAAUUUUGUAAUAAAAUUGAGAGAGAGGCUAGAUUACAUAAAAUUGAAAGAGAGGCUAGGUUACAUAAAAUUAAAAGAGAGGCUAGGUUACAUAAAAUUGAAAGAGAGGCUAGGUUACAUAAAAUUGAAAGAGAGGCUAGAUUACAUAAAAUGAAAGAGAGGCUAGGUUACAUAAAAUUGAAAGAGAGGCUAGGUUACAUAAAAUGAAAGAGAGGCUAGGUUACAUAAAAUUGAAAGAGAGGCUAGGUUACAUAAAAUGAAAGAGAGGCUAGGUUACAUAAAAUUGAAAGAGAGGCUAGGUUACAUAAAAUUGAGAGAGACGCUAGGUUACAUAAAAUGAAAGAGAGGCUAGAUUACAUAAAAUUGAAAGAGAGGCUAGGGUACAUAAAAUGAAAGAGAGGCUAGGUUACAUAAAAUUGAGAGAGACGCUAGGUUACAUAAAAUGAAAGAGUGGCUAGAUUACAUAAAAUUGAAAGAGAGGCUAGGGUACAUAAAAUGAAAGAGAGGCUAGGUUACAUAAAAUUGAGAGAGAGGCUAGGGUACAUAAAAUGAAAGAGAGGCUA
rnacentral:sRNA from 1 species